GGACUACUGGGGUAUCUAAUCCCGUUUGCUCCCCUGGCUUUCGCGCACUCAGCGUCAGUGUCGGCCUAGCAACCCGUCUUCACCUCAGGUAUUCCUCUUGAUAUCUACGCAUUUCACCGCUACACCAAGAAUUCUGAUUGCCCCUUCCGCACUCUAGCGCGACAGUAUCACUUGGCCGUUCCGAGUUAAGCCCGGAGAUUUCACAAGUGACUUGUCAUGCCGCCUACGCGCCCUUUACGCCCAGUAAAUCCGAACAACGCUUGGUCCCUACGUAUUACCGCGGCUGCUGGCAC
rnacentral:rRNA from 1 species